UUUUCUUCGGCAAUUUUCGGAAAUGACGUCACAUAGAGAGAUGCGAGGGAAGUCCUUCCAUUGAACAGCAUUGUUGCAUUGCUUGUUGGUAAGAUGCCACGGCGGUGUGUGGCAAUGUGUCGUUCACAAUCGACAGAAAAGUUCUGCCAGUGGCCAAAGGAUAGCAGGGCACUUAAAUGGAUGUCUUUUAUUCGCACGAAGCGAAUGAAUUUCACGCCAUCAUCGACGAGUGUUCUCUGCCAUCUCCACUUCAAAGAUGACUGCUUUCUCAACCUCUCUGCUUAUGAUCAAGGAUUUGCAAAAAAAUUACCGAGACUGGGGGAAGCUAUGGAAUGGAACUGGAGGGCCUGAAAAGAUGCCAUUCGGAGUUGGAAGGCUUCAAUGCAAAAGUUGUCGUCACUGACAGGCAUCGCCAGCGCCAGGUGGGGAAUUGGAUCAGGGAGAAUUGGACCCAAGUCAUCCAUUAUUAUGAUUGUUGGCACAUUGCUAAAGGUAUGUGCAAGAAACUGGACUCCUUGGCCAAAAAGAAGAGCAUGUUGAUCCUGAAGGAUUGGGUACAAAGUUUGAAGUGCCAUUUAUACUGGUGUGCACUUUCCUCCCAGACACCGGAGGAAAAGAAGCAGAAGUGGCUGGCAUGUGUGGACCACCAGCAGAACGUGCACGAUAGUUGUUUACAUCCUCCAAUUUCUAGAGAAAAAGCGUGGCUAUUACCAGUUGUUUUUUUUGUUAGAUGUUGCCUGCUAGUUAACCCUAAAAAAUAGAAAUAUUGUCAUACCUUGUAAAUUCAUUUAAAGGUACUGAGUCAAUGUCGCAGUGGUGGAACUCCUGAAAUGUUUGUCAACGAUGUCAUGAAGAUGUCUCACCUCGGACAGACCAGUGGCGUGGAAGCUUUUCACAGUGUGGUGAAUCACUUUGCCCCAAAGAUGUACCACUUCUCGUACAAAGGAAUGAAAAGCAGAAUAAUUCUUGCUGCUAUGCAUUAUUAUAAAAAUGCUGGCCGACCACAGAAAGUGACAAAAUAAGUACAGAACUGGUGAUGUGUGUGUCGACCCGCAUUUUCCGACAGCAGCACAGAACAGACCAGACCAGACAAGUCAACCGUUAUUGCCGAGCACCAGACUAGAUUCCUCAGGAAAUAAAAAAAAUAAAUUCCCUGUA